rnacentral:rRNA from 1 species
AGUGAACGCUGGCGGUAUGCCUAACACAUGCAAGUCGAACGGCAGCACAGUAAGAGCUUGCUCUUACGGGUGGCGAGUGGCGGACGGGUGAGGAAUACAUCGGAAUCUACUUUUUCGUGGGGGAUCACGUAGGGAAACUUACGCUAAUACUGCAUACGACCUACGGGUGAAAGCAGUGGAUCUUCGGACCUUUCGCGAUUGAAUGAGCCGAUGUCGGACUAGCUAGUUGGCGGGGUAAAGGCCCACCAAGGCGACGAUCCGUAGCCGGUCUGAGAGGAUGAUCGGCCACACUGGAACUGAGACACGGUCAAGACUCCUACGGGAGGCAGCAGUGGGGAAUAGUGGACAAUGGGCGGAAGCAUGAUCCAGCCAGACCGCGUGGGUGAAGAAGGCCUUCGGGUUGUAAAGACCUUUUGUUGGGAAAGAAAAGCAGUAGGUUAAGACCCCGCUGUUCUGACGGUACCCAAAGAAUAAGCACCGGCUAACUUCGUG